CGCAGAGAAGCGGAAGAGAGAACAGUCACCCUGUUGUCCCUCGAUGAUGAGCUGACAAACAGUUCUUGUGACGAAAUGAGCAUGGCCUGUGAGGCUCCCCUGCGUGCAAUGAUGUCGCGCCUGCUGUCGGUCCUGCUGUGUCAGAAGUUACUCGCUGUCUCCUAUGCGAAUUACAAGAAAACGCCGCCGCCCGUCCCCCCGCGCACCACCUCCAAGCCCCUGAUCUCGGUGACGGCGCAGAGCAGCACCGAGUCCACGCAGGACGCCUAUCAGGACAGCCGCGCACAGCGGGUGUCCCCAUGGCCCCAGGAUGGC